GAUGAACGCUGGCGGCGUGCCUAAUACAUGCAAGUCGAGCGAACGGACGAGAAGCUUGCUUUUCUGAUGUUAGCGGCGGACGGGUGAGUAACACGUGGAUAACCUACCUAUAAGACUGGGAUAACUUCGGGAAACCGGAGCUAAUACCGGAUAAUAUUUUGAACCGCAUGGUUCAAAAGUGAAAGACGGUCUUGCUGUCACUUAUAGAUGGAUCCGCGCUGCAUUAGCUAGUUGGUAAGGUAACGGCUUACCAAGGCAACGAUGCAUAGCCGACCUGAGAGGGUGAUCGGCCACACUGGAACUAAGACACGGUCCAGACUCCUACGGGAGGCAGCAGUAGGGAAUCUUCCGCAAUGGGCGAAAGCCUGACGGAGCAACGCCGCGUGAGUGAUGAAGGUCUUCGGAUCGUAAAACUCUGCUAUUAGGGAAGAACAUAUGUGUAAGUAACUGUGCACAUCUUGACGGUACCUAAUCAGAAAGCCACGGCUAACUACGUG
rnacentral:rRNA from 1 species